ensembl:snRNA U6 U6 spliceosomal RNA
AUGCUUGCUUCGGCAGCACACAUGCUAAAAUUGGAGUGAUACAGAGAAAAUUAGCAUGGCCCCUGGGCAAAGAUGACAUGCAAAUUCAUGAAACAUUCCAUAUUUAA